rnacentral:rRNA from 1 species
UCCUACGGGACGCAGCAGUGAGGAAUAUUGGUCAAUGGGCGGGAGCCUGAACCAGCCAAGCCGCGUGAGAGAAGAAGGUACAGCGUAUCGUAAACCUCUUUUGUCAGGGAACAAAGGCGGGGACUAGUCCCCGGAUGAGGGUACCUGAAGAAAAAGCAUCGGCUAACUCCGUGCCAGCAGCCGCGGUAAUACGGAGGAUGCGAGCGUUAUCCGGAUUUAUUGGGUUUAAAGGGUGCGCAGGCGGUCUGUUAAGUCAGCGGUCAAAGCCCGGGGCUCAACCCCGGCCCGCCGUUGAAACUGGCAGG